UGCCAUACAAGUCUGUGGUAGCCUGCAAGAGAAGAUAUGGAAUACUGAAUGAAAAAACCACACUGUUUGUACUCCUGACAAGCCAUUUGGAACCCAGGCAACCCAACUCCCCUUCAGCUAUCUGAGGACCUGCCUGAAUCACCCUACUGCUCUGGUCAUUCCUGUCUCCUCAAAAGAUGUCCCUUCAGCUGGGCUACCUGGAUGUCUGCUCCUGCAGUAUUGAGAUAAGGAGGGCAUACAGCGUGGUCACCAAACAUUCACAUGACCCUGUUAUUCCCUGAAUGUUGGAUUGGAAAACAAUUUCUAUUUCAAGAGAACAAGAUAAUCAAAGGAUAAUUCUUGAGGGGCAUUGCAAUACUGGAAAUCCAAGAAUUUAGAAACGAAGCCACUGUGAAGAAGACCACACAUCACAGUGCACAGGGUUGGUAUGUGACUUUGCUGGUGACACCCAAAACCCUAAACAGAGCAAAAAUAAACUCCAGAGGCUAAGAGCAAGAUGUUCUCAAGACUCAGUUUACCUGUUGAACCAGUCAUCUGUGUAUCGAGGGUAUGGGUA
rnacentral:lncRNA from 1 species